UACGUAGGUGGCAAGCGUUGUCCGGAUUUACUGGGCGUAAAGAGCGCGCAGGCGGUCGUUCAAGUCGCGUGUGAAAGCCCCCGGCUCAACUGGGGAGGGUCACGCGAUACUGAUCGACUCGAAGGCAGGAGAGGGUAGUGGAAUUCCCGGUGUAGUGGUGAAAUGCGUAGAUAUUGGGAGGAACACCAGUGGCGAAGGCGGCUCACUGGACCGGAACUGACGCUGAGGCGCGAAAGCGUGGGGAGCAAACAGGG
rnacentral:rRNA from 1 species